rnacentral:rRNA from 1 species
GACGAACGCUGGCGGCGUGCUUAACACAUGCAAGUCGAACGGAAAGGCCCUGCUUUUGUGGGGUGCUCGAGUGGCGAACGGGUGAGUAACACGUGAGUAACCUGCCCUUGACUUUGGGAUAACUUCAGGAAACUGGGGCUAAUACCGGAUAGGAGCUCCUGCUGCAUGGUGGGGGUUGGAAAGUUUCGGCGGUUGGGGAUGGACUCGCGGCUUAUCAGCUUGUUGGUGGGGUAGUGGCUUACCAAGGCUUUGACGGGUAGCCGGCCUGAGAGGGUGACCGGCCACAUUGGGACUGAGAUACGGCCCAGACUCCUACGGGAGGCAGCAGUGGGGAAUAUUGCACAAUGGGCGGAAGCCUGAUGCAGCAACGCCGCGUGCGGGAUGACGGCCUUCGGGUUGUAAACCGCUUUCGCCUGUGACGAAGCGUGAGUGACGGUAAUGGGUAAAGAAGCACCGGCUAACUACGUGCCAGCAGCCGCGGUGAUACGUAGGGUGCGAGCGUUGUCCGGAUUUAUUGGGCGUAAAGGGCUCGUAGGUGGUUGAUCGCGUCGGAAGUGUAAUCUUGGGGCUUAACCCUGAGCGUGCUUUCGAUACGGGUUGACUUGAGGAAGGUAGGGGAGAAUGGAUUUCCUGGUGGAGCGGUGGAAUGCGCAGAUAUCAGGAGGAACACCAGUGGCGAAGGCGGUUCUCUGGGCCUUUCCUGACGCUGAGGAGCGAAAGCGUGGGGAGCGAACAGGCUUAGAUACCCUGGUAGUCCACGCUGUAAACGGUGGGUACUAGGUGUGGGGUCCAUUCCACGGGUUCCGUGCCGUAGCUAACGCUUUAAGUACCCCGCCUGGGGAGUACGGCCGCAAGGCUAAAACUCAAAGGAAUUGACGGGGCCCCGCACAAGCGGCGGAGCAUGCGGAUUAAUUCGAUGCAACGCGUAGAACCUUACCUGGGUUUGACAUGGAUCGGGAGCGCUCAGAGAUGGGUGUGCCUCUUUUGGGGUCGGUUCACAGGUGGUGCAUGCCUGUCGUCAGCUCGUGUCGUGAGAUGUUGGGUUAAGUCCCGCAACGAGCGCAACCCUUGUUCACUGUUGCCAGCACGUUAUGGUGGGGACUCAGUGGAGACCGCCGGGGUCAACUCGGAGGAAGGUGGGGAUGACGUCAAGUCAUCAUGCCCCUUAUGUCCAGGGCUUCACGCAUGCUACAAUGGCUGGUACAGAGAGUGGCGAGCCUGUGAGGGUGAGCGAAUCUCGGAAAGCCGGUCUCAGUUCGGAUUGGGGUCUGCAACUCGACCUCAUGAAGUCGGAGUCGCUAGUAAUCGCAGAUCAGCAACGCUGCGGUGAAAACGUUCCCGGGGCU